CGAAAACUACGCAAUGCGCGAAAGCGUGACGUGGGAACUCCAAGUGCCCUGCCUCGGGUAGGGCUUUUUUUCAGUGUAAGUAGCUAAACGAAUAAGUGCUGGGCAAGACCGGUGCCAGCCGCCGCGGUAACACGGGCAGCACAAGUGGUGACCGCUUUUAUUGGGCCUAAAGCGUCCGUAGCCGGUUCAGUAAGUCCUUGGGUAAAUCCUCCAGCUUAACUGGUGGAAUUCCGGGGAUACUGCUGGACUUGGAGUUGAGAGAAGUCAGAGGUACCUCUGGGGUAGGGGUGAAAUCCUAUAAUCCUGGAGGGACCACCAGUGGCGAAGGCGUCUGACUAGAGCAAGCUCGACGGUGAGGGACGAAAGCCAGGGGCGCGAACGGGAUUAGAUACCCCGGUAGUCCUGGCCGUAAACGCUGCGCGCUAGGUGUUACGUUCUCUACGAGGGAGCGUAGUGCCGAAGAGAAGUUGUUAAGCGUGCCGCCUGGGAAGUAUUACCGCAAGGUAGAAACUUAAAGGAAUUGGCGGGGGAGCACCACAAGGGGUGGAGUCUGCGGUUCAAUUGGAUUCAACGCCGGGAACCUCACCGGGAGAGACGGCAGAAUGAUGGCCAAGCUGAUGACUUUGCCUGACGAGCCGAGAGGAGGUGCAUGGCCGUCGUCAGCUCGUACUGUGAAGCGUCCUGUUAAGUCAGGCAACGAGCGAGACCCGUGCCCUUAGUUGCUAAUUUAUCCCAUUGGGAUAAGUGCACUCUAGGGGGACCGCCAGUGAUAAACUGGAGGAAGGUGCGGGCGACUAUAGGUCAGUAUGCCCCGAAUCUCCCGGGCUACACGCGGACUACAAUGGAUGGUACAAUGGGCUUCAACUCCGAGAGGAGAAGGUAAUCCUUAAAGCCAUCCCAAGUUCAGAUUGUGGGUUGCAACUCACCCACAUGAAGCCGGAAUCCCUAGUAAUCGCGUGUCAUCAUCGCGCGGUGAAUAUGUCCCUGCUCCUUGCACACACCGCCCGUCAAGCCACCCGAGUGGGGUUUGGUCGAGGCUAUGUCCUUUGGGUAUAGUCGAG
rnacentral:rRNA from 1 species